CCUACGGGAGGCAGCAGUCGGGAAUAUUGCGCAAUGGAGGAAACUCUGACGCAGUGACGCCGCGUGCAGGAAGAAGGUUUUCGGAUUGUAAACUGCUUUAGACAGGGAAGAAACAAGACAGUACCUGUAAAAUAAGCUCCGGCUAACUACGUGCCAGCAGCCGCGGUAAUACGUAGGUGGCAAGCGUUAUCCGGAUUUACUGGGUGUAAAGGGCGUGUAGGCGGGAGAGCAAGUCAGACGUGAAAUUCCAGGGCUCAACCCUGGAACUGCGUUUGAAACUGUUCUUCUUGAGUGAUGGAGAGGCAGGCGGAAUUCCGUGUGUAGCGGUGAAAUGCGUAGAUAUACGGAGGAACACCAGUGGCGAAGGCGGCCUGCUGGACAUUAACUGACGCUGAGGCGCGAAAGCGUGGGGAGCAAACAGGAUUAGAUACCCCAGUAGUC
rnacentral:rRNA from 1 species